rnacentral:hammerhead_ribozyme from 1 species
AUCCAGUUGAUGAGUCUCAAAUAGGACGAAGCGCGCCUCGUGGAU